rnacentral:rRNA from 1 species
CGCGUAGGCGGCUUGGCAAGUCAAAGGUGAAAUCCCUCGGCUCAACCGAGGAACUGCCUUUGAAACUGCCUCGCUCGAGGCCGGGAGGGGGUAGCGGAAUUCCCAGUGUAGCGGUGAAAUGCGUAGAUACUGGGAGGAACACCGGUGGCGAAGGCGGCUACCUGGACCGGUUCUGACGCUGAGGCGCGAAAGCGUGGGGAGCAAACA